rnacentral:rRNA from 1 species
UCCUACGGGGGGCAGCAGUGGGGAAUAUUGCACAAUGGGGGAAACCCUGAUGCAGCGACGCCGCGUGAAGGAAGAAGUAUUUCGGUAUGUAAACUUCUAUCAGCAGGGAAGAAAGUGACGGUACCCAAGGAAUAAGCCCCGGCUAACUACGUGCCAGCAGCCGCGGUAAUACGUAGGGGGCAAGCGUUGUUCGGAAUGACUGGGCGUAAAGGGUGCGUAGGCGGUGUAGCAAGUUAGAAGUGAAAUACCUAGAGCUUAACUCAGGUGCUGCUUCUAAAACUGCUAUACUUGAGUGCAGUAGAGGA